rnacentral:rRNA from 1 species
CAAGGAAUUUUUCCCAAUGGGCGCAAGCCUGAGGAAGCAACGUCGCGUGGAGGAUGACGGCCUUCGGGUUGUAAACUCCUUUUCGGGGGGAAGAUACAGACGGUACCCCCGGAAUAAGCCCCGGCUAACUCCGUGCCAGCAGCCGCGGUAAUACGGAGGGGGCAAGCGUUGUCCGGACUCACUGGGCGGAAAGGGUGCGUAGGUGGCUUGCCACGUCGGUGCUGAAAGCGCCCGGCUCAACCGGGCGAGGCGUGCCGAUACGAGCGAGCUGGAGCCUCGGAGAGGGCGGUGGAACUCCUGGUGUAGUGGUGAAAUGCGUAGAGAUCAGGAAGAACACCCGUGGCGCAAGCGACCGCCUGGCCGAGUGCUGACACUGAGGCACGAAAGCGUGGGGAGCGAA